rnacentral:rRNA from 1 species
GCUACGGGAGGCAGCAGUGGGGAAUAUUGCACAAUGGGGGAAACCCUGAUGCAGCGACGCGGCGGGAGUGAGGAAGGAGUUCGGUAGGGAAAGCUCGAACAGCAGGGAAGAAAAUGACGGUACCUGACGAAGAAGCCCCGGCGAACGACGUGCCAGCAGCCGCGGUAAGACGUAGGGGGCAAGCGUUAUCCGGAUUUCCUGGGUGUCAAGGGAGCGUAGACGGCUCAUCAAGUCAGAAGUGAAAACCCAGGGCUCAACGUGGGGACUGCUUUUGAAACUGAGUAGCUCGAGUGCAGGAGAGGUCCGCGGCAUUCCUCGUGUCGCUGUGCCAUUCUUAGCUCUUAGUAGGCACACCUGUUGCGCAGGCGGCUUACUGGCCUUUCACUGCCGUUGAUGCUCGACCGCGUGGUGAGCACCCCGGCUUCUAUCGGUAGUC